rnacentral:rRNA from 1 species
AUGGCGACCGGCGCACGGGUGAGUAACGCGUAUGCAACUUACCUAUCAGAGGGGGAUAGCCCGGCGAAAGUCGGAUUAAUACCCCAUAAAACAGGGGUCCCGCAUGGGAAUAUUUGUUAAAGAUUCAUCGCUGAUAGAUAGGCAUGCGUUCCACUAGGCAGUUGGCGGGGUAACGGCCCACCAAACCGACGAUGGAUAGGGGUUCUGAGAGGAAGGUCCCCCACAUUGGUACUGAGACACGGACCAA